AAUAAAGUGCCUGAAAAAGGAUUAUUCUGAUAGAGUAAAUUAUGUAAUUUUAUAGUUACCUUUAUUA
rnacentral:tRNA from 1 species